GAUGAACGCUGGCGGCGUGCCUAAUACAUGCAAGUCGAGCGAACAGACAAGGAGCUUGCUCCUUUGACGUUAGCGGCGGACGGGUGAGUAACACGUGGGUAACCUACCUAUAAGACUGGGAUAACUUCGGGAAACCGGAGCUAAUACCGGAUAAUAUUUCGAACCGCAUGGUUCGAUAGUGAAAGAUGGUUUUGCUAUCACUUAUAGAUGGACCCGCGCCGUAUUAGCUAGUUGGUAAGGUAACGGCUUACCAAGGCGACGAUACGUAGCCGACCUGAGAGGGUGAUCGGCCACACUGGAACUGAGACACGGUCCAGACUCCUACGGGAGGCAGCAGUAGGGAAUCUUCCGCAAUGGGCGAAAGCCUGACGGAGCAACGCCGCGUGAGUGAUGAAGGUCUUCGGAUCGUAAAACUCUGUUAUUAGGGAAGAACAUACGUGUAAGUAACUAUGCACGUCUUGACGGUACCUAAUCAGAAAGCCACGGCUAACUACGUGCCAGCAGCCGCGGUAAUACGUAGGUGGCAAGCGUUAUCCGGAAUUAUUGGGCGUAAAGCGCGCGUAGGCGGUUUUUUAAGUCUGAUGUGAAAGCCCACGGCUCAACCGUGGAGGGUCAUUGGAAACUGUAAAACUUGAGUGCAGAAGAGGAAAGUGGAAUUCCAUGUGUAGCGGUGAAAUGCGCGGAGAUAUGGAGGAACACCAGUGGCGAAGGCGACUUUCUGGUCUGUAACUGACGCUGAUGUGCGAAAGCGUGGGGAUCAAACAGGAUUAGAUACCCUGGUAGUCCACGCCGUAAACGAUGAGUGCUAAGUGUUAGGGGGUUUCCGCCCCUUAGUGCUGCAGCUAACGCAUUAAGCACUCCGCCUGGGGAAUACGACCGCAAGGUUGAAACUCAAAGGAAUUGACGGGGACCCGCACAAGCGGUGGAGCAUGUGGUUUAAUUCGAAGCAACGCGAAGAACCUUACCAAAUCUUGACAUCCUUUGACAACUCUAGAGAUAGAGCCUUCCCCUUCGGGGGACAAAGUGACAGGUGGUGCAUGGUUGUCGUCAGCUCGUGUCGUGAGAUGUUGGGUUAAGUCCCGCAACGAGCGCAACCCUUAAGCUUAGUUGCCAUCAUUAAGUUGGGCACUCUAAGUUGACUGCCGGUGACAAACCGGAGGAAGGUGGGGAUGACGUCAAAUCAUCAUGCCCCUUAUGAUUUGGGCUACACACGUGCUACAAUGGACAAUACAAAGGGCAGCGAAACCGCGAGGUCAAGCAAAUCCCAUAAAGUUGUUCUCAGUUCGGAUUGUAGUCUGCAACUCGACUACAUGAAGCUGGAAUCGCUAGUAAUCGUAGAUCAGCAUGCUACGGUGAAUACGUUCCCGGGUCU
rnacentral:rRNA from 1 species